GGGCCCAUAGCUCAACGGUUAGAGCACCAGACUCAUAAUCUGUUGGUUCGGGGUUCGAAUCCCUGUGGGCCCA
rnacentral:tRNA from 1 species